rnacentral:rRNA from 1 species
GAGGAGCUUGCUUCUCUGGAUGAGUUGCGAACGGGUGAGUAACGCGUAGGUAACCUGCCUGGUAGCGGGGGAUAACUAUUGGAAACGAUAGCUAAUACCGCAUAARAGUAGAUGUUGCAUGACAUUUGCUUAAAAGGUGCAAUUGCAUCACUACCAGAUGGACCUGCGUUGUAUUAGCUAGUUGGUGGGGUAACGGCUCACCAAGGCGACGAUACAUAGCCGACCUGAGAGGGUGAUCGGCCACACUGGGACUGAGACACGGCCCAGACUCCUACGGGAGGCAGCAGUAGGGAAUCUUCGGCAAUGGACGGAAGUCUGACCGAGCAACGCCGCGUGAGUGAAGAAGGUUUUCGGAUCGUAAAGCUCUGUUGUAAGAGAAGAACGAGUGUGAGAGUGGAAAGUUCACACUGUGACGGUAUCUUACCGGAAAGGGACGGCUAACUACGUGCCAGCAGCCGCGGUAAUACGUAGGUCCCGAGCGUUGUCCGGAUUUAUUGGGCGUAAAGCAAGC